rnacentral:rRNA from 1 species
AUUGAACGCUGGCGGCAUGCCUUACACAUGCAAGUCGAACGGCAGCACGGGAGCAAUCCUGGUGGCGAGUGGCGAACGGGUGAGUAAUAUAUCGGAACGUGCCCAGUCGUGGGGAUAACGUAGCGAAAGCUACGCUAAUACCGCAUACGAUCUAUGGAUGAAAGCGGGGGAUCGCAAGACCUCGCGCGAUUGGAGCGGCCGAUAUCAGAUUAGGUAGUUGGUGAGGUAAAGGCUCACCAAGCCGACGAUCUGUAGCUGGUCUGAGAGGACGACCAGCCACACUGGGACUGAGACACGGCCCAGACUCCUACGGGAGGCAGCAGUGGGGAAUUUUUGGACAAUGGGCGCAAGCCUGAUCCAGCAAUGCCGCGUGCAGGAUGAAGGCCUUCGGGUUGGUU